rnacentral:tRNA from 1 species
GUUUCCGUGGUGUAGUGGAUAUCACGUCCGCCUCACACGCGGAAGUCUUCGGUUCGAUCCCGGGCGGAAACA